rnacentral:pre_miRNA from 11 species
AAAGUUGAAUACCAUUUACUUCUGUUGGGGUGAGGUAGUAAGUUGUAUUGUUGUGGGGUAGGGAUUUGUGCCCCAAAUCAGAGAUAACUAUACAACUUACUACUUUCCCUAACUGGGGUGAUAUAACAAUUUUCCUUA